CGCUUCUUUCCUCCCGAGUGCUUGCACUCAAUUGGAAAGAGGAGUGGCGGACGGGUGAGUAACACGUGGGUAACCUACCCAUCAGAGGGGGAUAACACUUGGAAACAGGUGCUAAUACCGCAUAACAGUUUAUGCCGCAUGGCAUAAGAGUGAAAGGCGCUUUCGGGUGUCGCUGAUGGAUGGACCCGCGGUGCAUUAGCUAGUUGGUGAGGUAACGGCUCACCAAGGCCACGAUGCAUAGCCGACCUGAG
rnacentral:rRNA from 1 species